GACAGAGGGGGCAAGCGUUGCUCGGAAUUACUGGGCGUAAAGGGCGCGUAGGCGGGAUGGCAAGUCGGUCGUGAAAUCCCUCGGCUCAACCGAGGAACGUCGAUCGAUACUGCCGUGCUUGAGGACUGGAGAGGAGACUGGAAUUUACGGUGUAGCGGUGAAAUGCGUAGAUAUCGUAAGGAAGACCAGUGGCGAAGGCGGGUCUCUGGACAGUUCCUGACGGCUGAGG
rnacentral:rRNA from 1 species